rnacentral:tRNA from 1 species
GCCUGAAUGGUCUAGUGGUAUGAUUCCUGCUUUGGGUAACCGAAAAUGCAGGAGGUCUCCGGUUCAAUCCCGGAUUCAGGCC